AGAAUCAACGCUGGCGGCGUGCCUAACACAUGCAAGUCGCACGAGAAAGGGGCUUCGGCCCUGAAUAAAGUGGCGCACGGGUGAGUAACACGUGAAUGAUCUACCUCCAAGUGGGGAAUAACCAAAAAGAAUUUUGGCUAAUACCGCAUAACACUUACGAGUCAAAGCAGCAAUGCGCUUGGAGAGGAGUUCGCGGCAGAUUAGCUAGUUGGCGGGGUAAUCGGCCCACCAAGGCGAUGAUCUGUA
rnacentral:rRNA from 1 species